ensembl:snoRNA
CGGAGGACUGAGAAGGUGAGGCAGUUCUGAACCAUGCUGCCUUCCACUGGUUAAGACCUCCGAGAGCGAAGGCCUGCAGAGGCAGAGGAAGUCCCUCUGCCGCCCCCAGAGGGGCAGCACUGUGUUGGCCGACACUUG